GACGAACGCUGGCGGCGUGCUUAACACAUGCAAGUCGAACGGACAGGCCCUGCUUUUGUGGGUGCUCGAGUGGCGAACGGGUGAGUAACACGUGAGUAACCUGCCCUUUACUUUGGGAUAACUUCAGGAAACUGGGGCUAAUACCGGAUAGGAGCUCCUGCUGCCUGGUGGGGGAUGGAAAGUUUGGGCGGUUGGGGAUGGACGCGCGGGUUAUCAGCUUGUUGGUGGGGUAGUGGCUUACCAAGGCUUUGACGGGUAGCCGUCCUGAGCGGGUGACCGGCCACAUUGGGACUGAGAUACGGCCCAGACUCCUACGGGAGGCAGCAGUGGGGAAUAUUGCACAAUGGGCGGAAGCCUGAUGCAGCAACGCCGCGUGCGGGAUGACGGCCUUCGGGUUGUAAACCGCUUUCGCCUGUGACGAAGCGUGAGUGACGGUAAUGGGUAAAGAAGCACCGGCUAACUACGUG
rnacentral:rRNA from 1 species